CCUACGGGUGGCAGCAGUGGGGAAUAUUGGACAAUGGGGGCAACCCUGAUCCAGCCAUGCCGCGUGUGUGAAGAAGGCCCUCGGGUUGUAAAGCACUUUCAGUGAGGAAGAACGCCUGGUGGUUAAUACCCAUCAGGAAAGACAUCACUCACAGAAGAAGCACCGGCUAACUCCGUGCCAGCAGCCGCGGUAAUACGGAGGGUGCGAGCGUUAAUCGGAAUUACUGGGCGUAAAGCGCGCGUAGGUGGCUUGAUAAGCCGGUUGUGAAAGCCCCGGGCUCAACCUGGGAACGGCAUCCGGAACUGUCAAGCUAGAGUGCAGGAGAGGAAGGUAGAAUUCCCGGUGUAGCGGUGAAAUGCGUAGAGAUCAGGAGGAAUACCAGUGGCGAAGGCGGCCUUCUGGACUGACACUGACACUGAGGUGCGAAAGCGUGGGUAGCAAACAGGAUUAGAUACCCGUGUAGUC
rnacentral:rRNA from 1 species